AUGGAAAGUAAUAGAGCCCCUGGCCCUGAUAAUAUACCAUCGGAGUUUUGUAAACAUUGUUGGGAUUUUGUUAAGAAAGACAUUAUGCGGUUGUUCGAAGCCUUCCAUAACAACACACUGGAUGUUGCUGGUUUGAACUAUGGGAUAACUACUUUGAUACAAAAAAUGAACGGGGCGAAAAAAAUUCAACAAUACCGCCCCAUAUGCCUUCUUAGAUGCCCAUAUAAGCUGAUCACCGAAGCGCUUGAUAACAGAGUUGUCGUAUUUGCGGACAAGCUGAUUAGAAAGCACCAAAAUGCGUUCAUCAAGAAUAGGAACAUUAUGGAUGGAAUCCUCACUUUGCAUUAG
rnacentral:rRNA from 1 species